rnacentral:tRNA from 1 species
UGGGGGGUAUAAGAGAAAAAGUUAAGUUACUGCUAAUAACUUAGGGUCAGUUUAGUUUGACUUCUCUUU